rnacentral:rRNA from 1 species
AUGUAAGUUUUAGCGUGAGUUUUUAUUUAUUUUAAUAAUAAAUAAUCUAUUUAAGUCGCAGUAAUUAGUAUUAUUAAUUAAAGAAAUUUAGAAAUAGUAAUUUUAGACAGCAUUGGCUAAAUUUGUGCCAGCAGCCGCGGUUAUACUAAUAAUGCAAAUGAAUUAUUAUCGGUGUGAGUUAAAUUGAUUGAGAUAAUAAAAUAAAUAUAAAUUUAUUAGGUGAAAUUUUAAAUUUAUAGAUGUUUUUAAUUAGAUAAAUUGAAGCUCGUAAAUUUUAAUAAUAAACUAGGAUUAGAUACCCUAUUAUUUAAAAUGUAAAAUUGUUACCAAGGUAGUAGUAGUUAUGUUCUUGAAACUUAAAAAAUUUGGCGGUAUUUUAGUCUAUUCAGAGGAACCUGUUCUAUAAUCGAUAAUCCACGUUGGACCUAACUUAAGCUUGUAUUUCAGUUUAUAUACCGUCGUUAUCAGAAUAUUUUAUAAGAAUAAUAAUUUUCUAGAAUUUUUAUAAAAAUUUAUAUCAGAUCAAGGUGUAGCUUAUGUUUAAGUAGAAAUGGGUUACAAUAAAUUUAUUUAUACGGAUUUAAAUUUGAAAUUUUUUAAUGAAGGUGGAUUUGAUAGUAAAAUUAUAAAGAUAAUUAAUUUGAUUUUAGCUCUAAAAUAUGCACACAUCGCCCGUCGCUCUUAUUAUUAAGGUAAGAUAAGUCGUAACAUAGUAGAUGUA